rnacentral:rRNA from 1 species
AUUGAACGCUGGCGGCAGGCCUAACACAUGCAAGUCGAGCGGAUGAGGGAAGCUUGCUUUUCGAUUCAGCGGCGGACGGGUGAGUAAUGCCUAGGAAUCUGCCUGUUAGUGGGGGAUAACUCGGGGAAACUCGGGCUAAUACCGCAUACGUCCUACGGGAGAAAGUGGGGGAUCUUCGGACCUCACGCUAACAGAUGAGCCUAGGUCGGAUUAGCUAGUAGGUGAGGUAAUGGCUCACCUAGGCGACGAUCCGUAACUGGGCUGAGAGGAUGAUCAGUCACACUGGAACUGAGACACGGUCCAGACUCCUACGGGAGGCAGCAGUGGGGAAUAUUGGACAAUGGGCGAAAGCCUGAUCCAGCCAUGCCGCGUGUGUGAAGAAGGUCUUCGGAUUGUAAAGCACUUUAAGUUGGGAGGAAGGGUAUUCCCCUAAUACGUGGGUACUUUGACGUUACCAACAGAAUAAGCACCGGCUAACUCUGUGCCAGCAGCCGCCGUAAGAC